AAUCAUAGACGAGUAAUCUGAUGCGUCCAAGCGAAACUGUCUAUCACCUUGGCUUUAGCAGCCUUACAGUUUCGCAUUAUCCAUUUAGAAACGAGAAAACUUUUUUCAGGCCCACCGCUCAGCUUUCCAAAUUACCUUUUGAAUAAAUCGAACCCUGCGAAUUUUUCACAAACGACGAAAGCUGAGCAGCCCCUUUCGUCUCGAAUCUUCAUACUUUUGCAAAGCUCUGCGAGGAGCUUGCUCAUCUCAUUAUAGCCUUCCCGAAAUACGGUACGUGGUUGAUAAAAAUCAAUUACGGUUUCGUUGGACUGCAGACCGUUUUUAUAAGUCUUUAAAAGAGUCCUUUACGUGAGAUCGUCGUAGCUAAGCAAAUCACGUGAGAAAUACCCGUGUAAACCUGGCGAAAGAGGAACUGGUCAUCUUUCUGAUGGAAAUUUUGCCGGGCGAAAUAUCGUUCAACAAAGGUGCCUACAAAUGUUACACAGAACUCCUUAGCGACUUUGAAAAAUACGGAGGCAUACGGCGGAGCCGAGGAUCUGCGCUUCGGGCGACGUCUUCCAGACGAAGGGCGGAUUGGUCGUUGAUUUGUGCUUCUCUGGAGAAUUUGGCCGGCAGUGUGGGAAGCGAGCUUCGGGAACGGCAACAUGUCGGUUGCUUUAGUCCGGACGUGAUUACCUUCGUGGAUACGGACAGCGUCCAGCCAGAAGCGGAACAGGUCACAGGAUACGGCUUCCGUUUUCCAAUAACCAAUCAGAGAGCCAUUCCCGCUACGUUACUGCACUAUGUAUGAAUAUAUUACCCUUCGUUUCACCCUGCACGUCGGCGUCCAGUUGGCUCGUUCAUAACCGCACGUUCCUCUCGAUUCUGCAUUCAAACACCGGUUUCUCAGGCGUCACGUAAUUUCUGACUCUCGGUUUCGCGCGCACUUCCCAGUCAUUAUGCCACAUUGUGACCACCGUCAUUAUCGCCAUGUAUCACCGUAGCCGUCACAACGCACUUUAGAUGCCCUCUAUCUAGAUUUUUCCCACGCGUUUGUAAUUAUCACUCACAACGUGGCGGAAUUAUGGAGAGACGGAGUGUUAGGAGUAGAAAGAAGGGAAAGAGAAAGGAAACCGGAGAAGUCAACGUGUAACGAAGAGUAAAAAAAAGAUGGAGAACGGAAAAGAUGCCAAGGUAUUUGCAGGAGAAAAGUAAGGGAAAGAAAACAAAGAUAAACUAAUGGAGAGCAAGUAGA